rnacentral:tRNA from 1 species
AAAGUCCUCUAACACA